UACGUAGGGGGCAAGCGUUGUCCGGAAUCAUUGGGCGUAAAGCGCGUGUAGGCGGCCCGGUAAGUCCGCUGUGAAAGUCGGGGGCUCAACCCUCGGAUGCCGGUGGAUACUGUCGGGCUAGAGUGCGGGAGAGGCGAGUGGAAUUCCUGGUGUAGCGGUGAAAUGCUUAGAUAUGACAUAGAACACCAAUUGCGAAGGCAGCUUACUACACAGUUAUUGACACUGAGGCACGAAAGCGUGGGGAUCAAACAGG
rnacentral:rRNA from 1 species